GAUGAACGCUGGCGGCGUGCCUAAUACAUGCAAGUCGAGCGAACAGAUGAGGAGCUUGCUCCUCUGACGUUAGCGGCGGACGGGUGAGUAACACAUGGAUAACCUACCUAUAAGACUGGGAUAACUUCGGGAAACCGGAGCUAAUACCGGAUAAUAUAUUGAACCGCAUGGUUCAAUAGUUAAAGACGGUUUUGCUGUCACUUAUAGAUGGAUCCGCGCCGCAUUAGCUAGUUGGUAAGGUAACGGCUUACCAAGGCAACGAUGCGUAGCCGACCUGAGAGGGUGAUCGGCCACACUGGAACUGAGACACGGUCCAGACUCCUACGGGAGGCAGCAGUAGGGAAUAUUCCGCAAUGGGCGAAAGCCUGACGGAGCCACGCCGCGUGAGUGAUGAAGGUCUUCGGAUCGUAAAACUCUGUUAUUAGGGAAGAAAAAAUGUGUAAGUAACUAUGCACGUCUUGACGGUACCUAAUCAGAAAGCCACGGCUAACUACGUG
rnacentral:rRNA from 1 species